rnacentral:rRNA from 1 species
AGUGAACGCUGGCGGUAGGCCUAACACAUGCAAGUCGAACGGCAGCACAGUAAGAGCUUGCUCUUACGGGUGGCGAGUGGCGGACGGGUGAGGAAUACAUCGGAAUCUACUUUUUCGUGGGGGAUAACGUAGGGAAACUUACGCUAAUACCGCAUACGACCUACGGGUGAAAGCAGGGGAUCUUCGGACCUUGCGCGAUUGAAUGAGCCGAUGUCGGAUUAGCUAGUUGGCGGGGUAAAGGCCCACCAAGGCGACGAUCCGUAGCUGGUCUGAGAGGAUGAGCAGCCACACUGGAACUGAGACACGGUCCAGACUCCUACGGGAGGCAGCAGUGGGGAAUAUUGGACAAUGGGCGCAAGCCUGAUCCAGCCAUACCGCGUGGGUGAAGAAGGCCUACGGGUUGUAAAGCCCUUUUGUUGGGAAAGAAAAGCAGCAGGUUAAUACCCCGCUGUUCUGACGGUACCCAAAGAAUAAGCACCGGCUAACUUCGUG